rnacentral:lncRNA from 1 species
UAUAUAUAUUUUAUUAAAAUAAACUAUAUAUAACUCGAGUUCGGUUUUUAUUUUUAUACGAUUCUACAGAACAGACUGUAUUAAAUAAAGAUUUUACUAUAAAAAUUUUCAGUUAAACAAAAUGGCAACAUUGGGAUUAAUAAAAAUAAAGCGAGUCAUGCCUUUUUUAUUUAUUUAAGUAGGAGCAGCACAUCUGUUUACUUUAUCAAACCCCUUUCAGGAUUUAAGAGGAAGGAAGGAUUGACUAGGAGAAAUGAUUUUGACACCCAGGAUGACAAUAAAAGAACAAUAAUUGCCACUUAUGCCUUUUUCUCCUCUAACAAUAAAAAUCAUGCGUCGACAAAAUGCUAUAAAAACAGCAAGAGUUGUCCUUCUUAAUAAUUCGAAAGUAUAUUGCUCGUUCAAUUCUAUCAUGCCGUAUAAUUGUAUAUUACUGUUGAGGAUCGAAAUAAAACGCAUUAAAAUGCAUAUUUAUCACGCGGAACUGCUAGGAAGAAAAAUAAAUAAAUAAUAAUAAUGCGAUAAAACUUUACCAUAACUAAAUUAUUUUUGCAUGUAAAGAAGUCUUUCGAAUAAAAGUAUAAAUAUAAUUGUGCAAAUUUAUCCAUCGUUUCCUGACUAAAAUAAGAUUUUUACUGAACGAUGAGAUGUUUUAAAAUUUAAGCUAAAGACAUUUAUGAUGCAAAUUUAACACUUACAAACUUUUAAGAAACGUAAUUUGCAAAAAGGAGCUUCAACGACUUUUUUUUUAAAGAAUUCUUUUUCUUUAUGUAAAGCAAUAGAAUCUUCAAUGUCAUUAA